rnacentral:rRNA from 1 species
UGGGGAAUAUUGCACAAUGGGCGCAAGCCUGAUGCAGCCAUGCCGCGUGUAUGAAGAAGGCCUUCGGGUUGUAAAGUACUUUCAGCGAGGAGGAAGGCGUUGUGGUUAAUAACCGCAACGAUUGACGUUACUCGCAGAAGAAGCACCGGCUAACUCCGUGCCAGCAGCCGCGGUAAUACGGAGGGUGCAAGCGUUAAUCGGAAUUACUGGGCGUAAAGCGCACGCAGGCGGUCUGUCAAGUCGGAUGUGAAAUCCCCGGGCUCAACCUGGGAACUGCAUCCGAAACUGGCAGGCUAGAGUCGUGUAGAGGGGGGUAGAAUUCCAGGUGUAGCGGUGAAAUGCGUAGAGAUCUGGAGGAAUACCGGUGGCGAAGGCGGCCCCCUGGACAAAGACUGACGCUCAGGUGCGAAAGCGUGGGGAGCAAACA